rnacentral:rRNA from 1 species
GACGAACGCUGGCGGCGUGCCUAACACAUGCAAGUCGAACGGAACUGUUUUGAAAGAUUUCUUCGGAAUGAAUUUGAUUUAGUUUAGUGGCGGACGGGUGAGUAACGCGUGAGUAACCUGCCUUCAAGAGGGGGAUAACAUUCUGAAAAGGAUGCUAAUACCGCAUGAUAUAUCGGAACCACAUGGUUCUGAUAUCAAAGAUUUUANCGCUUGAAGAUGGACUCGCGUCCGAUUAGUUAGUUGGUGAGGUAACGGCUCACCAAGACCGCGAUCGGUAGCCGGACUGAGAGGUUGAACGGCCACAUUGGGACUGAGACACGGCCCAGACUCCUACGGGAGCAGCAGUGGGGGAUAUUGCGCAAUGGGGGCAACCUGACGCAGCAACGCCGCGUGAAGGAUGAAGUUUUCGGAUUGUAAACUUCUUUAUUAAGG